AACGUAGGGCCCGAGCGUUGUCCGGAAUCACUGGGUGUAAAGGGUGCGUAGGUGGUUUCUUAAGUCAGAGGUGAAAGGCUACGGCUCAACCGUAGUAAGCCUUUGAAACUGGGAAACUUGAGUGCAGGAGAGGAGAGUGGAAUUCCUAGUGUAGCGGUGAAAUGCGUAGAUAUUAGGAGGAACACCAGUUGCGAAGGCGGCUCUCUGGACUGUAACUGACACUGAGGAACGAAAGCGUGGGGAGCAAACAGG
rnacentral:rRNA from 1 species